rnacentral:rRNA from 1 species
UUGGACCUACGGGGCGCAGCAGUGGGGAAUAUUGCACAAUGGGGGAAACCCUGAUGCAGCGACGCCGCGUGAGUGAAGAAGUAAUUCGUUACGUAAAGCUCUGUCAGCAGGGAAGAAAAUGACGGUACCUGACCAAGAAGCCCCGGCUAACUACGUGCCAGCAGCCGCGGUAAUACGUAGGGGGCAAGCGUUAUCCGGAUUUACUGGGUGUGAAGGGAGCGUAGACGGUGCGCCAAGUCUGGAGUGAAAUGCCGCAGCUUAACUGCGGAACUGCUUUGGAAACUGGCGCGCUCGAGUGCGGGAGG